ensembl:lncRNA
CCUGUAGCAGUCUGCGACUGGGUCUGGGGUGAUCUGUGGCGAGGGUCCAAGAUCAGUCUGCUUGGGGAACUGGGUCAGUCCAUAACUGAGAAAUUAGGAAUUGACCAGAUUUUUGACUUUGACCAACAGGGGAUCUGCCCUGCAGCCCUAUAGUCAUGAGUGAAGGAGGAAGAAGCAAUGUCCCUGCGGUAAAUGUGGGAGGUAGAGCAGAUCGGGGAGGGAUUCCUGAGUCAUCAGAGAUAGCUGGUUCUUGAGAAAUUGUCCUAUCUGCUAGGAAGGGUUUGGAUAAGAGAAUAAGCUCCUUUCCUGCAGAGAUAAUUUCUCCUUCCUCCGUUGCUCUAUCCCCCCUCCCAUCUGCCAUAUGGUCCUGACAAGGACAUGUGUGGGCAGUGCCACACCUAGGGGUCUUGUCCUCAGGGUUCAGUGGCCAACUUUGUAUCAGUUUGGGAGGGGGACAGCAUGAAUAGAGAAAGGGAAUAGUUGUUCUAGACUAGGAAAAAAAAAGGGAGGAAAGAAAUCGACAUGUAUUGAGCUCCUCCUGUGUGCAAGGCACAAUACCAUGUAUUUUUAUAUUAGCCAACCAUUUGAUCUUCCCAGUGAUGUAAAAAAAAUUUUUUUACCUUGUUUUACAGACAAGGAAUAAAGGCCUAUAGUGGCUGAAGCACAUAUCCACGGUCAUUUGAGUUUUGGUAAUACGAGAUCAGGCUUGAACAGACUGUAUUGAAGGGACCCAUGGUGUGGCUGCGGAAAGUGGCCAGGUGCAGUGGUAGAGGCCCUGGGAUUGCCAUAUGAGGGGUUGCAGAGAGAGAAGAGAUCAUGGCAGGGCCCACUCGUACUCCUCAGGAAUCAGGAUCCCCAGGUUUUAGCUGGGGAUACAGAUUAUACUUCCCAACCUCCUAUGAAGCUGAGUGUGGCCAUGUGUUAAGUCAUGGCUAGUGAGGAGGGAGGGGAAGUGGUCCCUGAAGACCUUUACCGCUUUUCACUUCUCUCUCCUUCCUGCUGGCUGGAACAAGGCUGUGAAGCUCAACCAGCUCUUUUGUGUCAUGAGGGAGUAGGAAUCUGAGCCCCGGAUGACUGCAGCCACCAAACUCAUCUAGACCUCUAGAGUCCAUACCUGCAAGAGACAUGAAACUCUGUCUUAUCUAAGCCACCGUUCGUUUGUUUCUUCUUCUGUUAACUGAAAACAGUCUUAACAAGUAGAAAGGUCAAGGGCAUAUUCUUCAUCCAGGGCUGCAGUUCUCAAACCCGGAUGCACUUAGAAUGCUUAACUCUCUCCAAUAUCAACUGAAUGAGAUUUUCUGGAGGGGGCAGGGCUAGGCAUUGGUAUUUUAGGCUCCCCAGAUGCUUCUGGUGUGUAGCCACUGAUCAUGAAAGGAGUAGCCACUCCUCUCAUUGGAGGAGAACCAGGAGAGUAGCUGUGAAGCCAAAGGAGAGAAUUUGAGAAAGAAAAUAGGUAGGUAUCAAUAACAGAUGCCUCAAUUGGAAGCUGAGAAGAAGCCAUUGAAUUAGGUCACCAGGGGUCAUUAGUGACUUGACUGAGAGGGGUGAAGACAGGGUACUGUUUGAAAUAGGCUAAGGGGGGUUGAAUGCCCAGGAAAUAUAAGAAAUCUGCUAGUGAAAGGAAGAAAAGAGGCACUUAGCUUGAUGGGAUGAAAGUGAAAGUGAAGUCGCUCAGCCUUGUCUGACUCUUUGCAACCCCGUGGACUGUAGCCUACCACGCUCCUCUGUCCAUGGGAUUUUUCAGGCAAGAGUACUGGAGUGGGUUGCCAUUUCCUUCUCCAGAGGAUUUUCCCAACCCAGGGAUCGAACCCGGGUCUCCCUCAUUGUAGGCAGACGCUUUACCAUUUGAGCCACUAGGGAAGAUACUUGGUGGGAUAGUGUCUCAAUUUUAUGAUAAUGACUUAAUAGCCUUGAGCUGUGAAAGAGCAGCCCUGUGCUAAGCCCUUUCCAGGCAUCACCACCUCAUCUCACAGAACUCCUUUCUCUGAGAUGGGGACUACAAUUUCUGCUGUACAGAUGUGGAAACUGACAUGCAAAUACGAAAACACUGGCUCAAGAUCAAGCAACUGCAGUCUGUAGGAGAUGCGGAGAGCUGCAGCUGCAGACAGCUGGUUGCACCUGCCGUCCUGGAGUUCUCAUUUCUUCUCACACCUGUCUGUCUAGAAAGGAGCAGAAACCCUGUGAUGGAGAGCAUACUAAGGCACGAGUGUGUGCUCAGUCAUGUCCAACUCUUUGGGGCCUCCUGGACCUGUAGCCUGCCUGUCCAUGGAAUUUUCCAGGCAAGAAUACUGGAGUGGCUUGCCAUUUCCUAUUCCAGGGGAAUCUUCCCAACCCAGGAAUCAAACCUGCCUCUCUUGCUACUGCUGCAUUGGCAGGCAGAUUCUUUACCACGGCGCCAGCUGGGAAGCUGAGGAAAGAAUACUGUGUAUCCAUCAAGUCCCCUUUCCUUUUUCCCGGAACUACAUGUCCCAGCACCCCCUGCUGUCAGGUCAAGUCACAUGACUGAGUUCUAGGCAAUGGACUGUGGGUAGGAGCGAUGUAUGCCACUUUCGGGGUGUCCUCUAAAAACACCACAGGCAGUCUUCUCUGUGUGCUUGCGCACUCUUUCCCCUUGCGGUCUGCUGAAAACCCAGUGAAGAACAUUGAGCCCCGGGGGAUGGCUGAGCCACUGGACUGAAUUGUUCCGUAAUCUGAUGUAGUAGAACCCUGGCUCCUGUUCACCUCCACUAGACUGGAACAUUAGGUUUAUUAAGCCACUGAGGUUUCGAGGACUGGUUAUUAAGCAGUUACCUAACUUGAUAAUACAAAGCCUGAAAGGGGUAUCGGUAUCCUUGUUUUUCCAGGUGGGAAACUAACUCAGAGAUGCUAAGUAACUUGCCAAGGUCACACGGCAAAGAAGUGGCACAUCUGAGAUUUGAGCCCAGGUUAUAACUUUCCCACUGUACCAGGCUAGCAGGGUAGUUCAGUUCAGUUCAGUUCAGUCGCUCAGUCGUGUCCGACUCUUUGCAACCCCAUGAAUCGCAGCACGCCAGGGUAAGUGCCCUGUAUAAAAGGUGCAUUAGCGUUUGUCUUUUGAGGUGUCAUAGAAAGAAAGGCUGGAGAAGGCAAUGGCACCCCACUCCAGUACUCUUGCCUGAAAAAUCCCAUGGAUGGAGGAGCCUCUUGGGCUACAGUCCAUGGGGUCGCUAAGAGUCGGACAUGACUGAAUGACUUCACUUUCACUUUUCACUUUCAUGUAUUGGAGAAGGAAAUGGCAACCCACUCCAGUGUUCUUGCCUUGAGAAUCCCAGGGACGGGGGAGCCUGAUGGGCUGCCAUCUAUGGGGUCUCACAGAGUCGGACAUAACUGAAAUGACUUAGCAGCAGCAGCAGAAAGACACACACACAGCAGGAUUAGGAGAUGGAGAGGGAGGGAGAGGCUGGAUGGCAGGCGUGCAGAAUGGCACAUCACAGUGGCCAAGAGAGGUAGCCUUUCAAGGAAGGGGUGGUCAGUUGUGUCUAAUGAGACCCAGCCAGGUGGAGGAGGAAGAGGGUUGAGGACAGGCCAUUAAAUUUAAUGGCCUUGGUGACAGUUUCAGCUGAGUGAUGGGGCAGACGCCAGGUUGGAGGGAGCUUGGGGACAAGUUGGUGGUUGGAUUGGUGAAGGGAAGAAGAAAAAUAAGGGAUAGUUUUAAGCAGAGGCCAGGCCAAGGGAAGGAAUUUUGAGGAGAAUCAGUGGUUAGAAGGAGAUUAAAAAUAAAAAAGGGACUCAUGACCUACAUAAUGUGAAGCACCUGCGAUGAUUUUCCUUUUCUGCUUGGUUCUGGUGAGCACUCCCAGAGCUAAGCUGACAGGUCAGGAAGCAGGGAGGGAGAGGUUCAACACAGACAGCAGGUCAUGCAACAUUAACUGGGCUGCAAGGCUGUCCCCUGAGUGGGCAAGCGGGUGGUGGCUGAUGUGCUGUGAUCGGAGAACCUGAAAUUCUUCAGGCUUGUCUAAGGCUAUCUAUCUUUUUCUUUAUAUUAAAUUCGAAAAAUUUUCUUCAUAUUCCUUCCAAGUUUUUUUUUUUACCUUUAUUGAGGUAUAAUUGACAAAGCUAUAAUAUAUUUAACAUAUACAGUGUGAUGAUUUGAUAUAACAUACUUUGUGAAAGG